AAAAAUGUCCGAGACAGCAUGAGAAAAGUAUCUCCCAGAAUAGAGGGGUCCAUUGAAGAUGCUUUGCCCGAAGAACACCCCCCUCCUGCCACAAUCUUGAAGUUGGCACUGUGCAUUUACAUCUUCUGUUAACUCAUUACACUUUGCCGAACAGAUGUCAAAACCAUGACAGGUUUUCAUCAAAUUCUCUACCCUGAGGUAGUAGCAAGCCAGUACAACUUCAAAUGAAUAGAAUUAGUUUUACCGAAGCUCGGAGGAUUGUGAAGAUGGAACUUAUAAUGAGAAACUAGCCACAGUCCUAAUGGUAUGGAGACGGAAACACUGUGCC